UCGGGAAUUUUGGGCAAUGGGAGAAAGCCUGACCCAGCAACGCCGCGUGAGGGAUGAAGUAUUUCGGUAUGUAAACCUCGAAAGAAUGGGAAGAAUAAAUGACGGUACCAUUUAUAAGCUCCGGCUAACUACGUGCCAGCAGCCGCGGUAAUACGUAGGGAGCAAGCGUUGUUCGGAUUUACUGGGCGUAAAGGGCGCGUAGGCGGCGCGGUAAGUCACUUGUGAAAUCUCUGAGCUUAACUCAGAACGGCCAAGUGAUACUGCUGUGCUAGAGUGCGGAAGAGGCAACCGGAAUUCUUGGUGUAGCGGUCAAAUGCGUAGAUAUCAAGAGGAACACCUGAGGCGAAGGCGGGUUGCUGGGCCGACACUGACGCUGAUGCGCGAAAGCCAGGGGAGCAAACG
rnacentral:rRNA from 1 species